CUUUGCCUUGGUGCCGCUGUCACGGUUUCCGCGUUCGAGUGAAGCCGCCGCGUGAAGUUGGAGGGCAGCGGGGAUGUUUGCGAGCGGGCUCCUUGCUCCACAACCUCGUUGCCAGACAACCUGCGCAGGUGGUUCGCCAACCCGCCCGCGUGCGCGCGCGCAACCGAAGAGGUCGGCCGCUUGCACAGAACGGUGCGAAAUAAGUUCAACAUGACAUGAACCAAAAACAGGACGCGGCUGUGUUUUUUCAGAAAGUUGGCGAAUUAGCGAAGCGUGCGUGCGGGGGCAGAGGCGGGUGAAUGAUGAGCGUUGUGCCCUUGGUGCCGUGAAACGAGAAUUGGAGAGGAACGAACAAAAAUCGGGGUUUUUUUCUUUCUCGCGGCCGCGGGAAGUGAGCAGAGCGGAGAGUUGCGAGGACCGGACACACCUGGACAGGUGUGCGGAGCACACUCACGCACAGAUGCCCUACAUGGAAGUUCUGGGGCGCUCGGCCGAGCCGGUCGCCUUCCUCUCGGGUCUGGCGUCCUCCCUCGUGGGUCCGACCAUCCUCAUGCUGGUGUACGAGCGAAGCGGAGCGACACUGGACAGCCGACACGACGGCUCCGACGGCACGACGCACGUGGCCUGCGGCGGCGGCGGCAAUGCCACGACGCUGGCGGGCUCGGAAGACGACGCCCAAAAACGCGCCUCGCAGUUCUUCAUGUUCUACAACAUCGCCUCGAGCGUGAGCGCCAUGGUGCCCAGCCUCGUCAUGGGUCAGCUGGGAGACCUGCUGAGUCGACGGCUGCUGCUGGUGGUGCCCCUGCUGGGCACCUUGUUGUCCCAGCUGCUCCUGCUCUUCGUGGUCGGCGUGAACAUGCCCCUGCAGUGGCUCUACGGCUACGUGCUCAUCUCGGGCCUCACCGGGGGUUCCUCGACGCUCUGGGCCGGGGCCAACGCAUACGCGGCCCAAGCAGCCCGGACACCGCCGCCAAGCUCGCAAGUCGGGCGGAGUGACGAGGAUAGGCCAGGAGGGGAUCACGACGGUGACGACGGCGACGCCGAGGCGUCGGAGGGCGCCCCGUUGUUCUCCGACCGUUCGCGAAGCCACGCGGCCGGCACCGGCUACGGCAGCGCGGCCGCCGCGAUCGACGACGGCAGAGGGCCCGGGGGCGGCCUCUGUGACGUCGGAGAGGCGCCGUCGUCCAAUCAGGGAACGGCUCGGCAGGGGCGCGGGAUUCAAACGCCCGUGCGGCACGGGCGCAGCUCACGCAGGCUCAUGUUGCUCGAGCUGUCGUUUGGCUUGGCGGCCACGCUGGGCAGCAUCGCCUCGGGACACGUCUUCGCCAACUUCAGGCUGCCGCUUUCGUUCAAACACGGCUCGUUUUCAGUGCUGGCCGCGAUGUUCAUGUACACGCUGGCAAUCUUCUACUCGCUCUUCGUGCUCAAAGACGUCAGGCCGCAGGCGACGGCCAGAGAGGCCAGCAGGGUCACCCUGAAGGGAGUCCUCCACGUCUACAGAUUUGGGAUGUUCAAGCCAGGUGGCCCCAGCGAUCAGCGCACGGUCUUCGUCCUGCUCUUCACUAGCGCCAUGCUCUACCAGCUGGUGGUGCGCGCCUUCGUCGACUUUCUGGGACUCUUCAUGCUCCGCUCGCCACUCUGCUUUGGGCCGGACCUCGUGGGCUACGCCACGGCCAUUGGCUGCUGCAUCUACAUCAGCAGCUUCCUCGCCAACCUGAUGCUGUCGCGCUGCUGGACGGACCAGGCGUUAGCCAUGAUGGGUGUCGCGUCCUUCUGCGUGGGCACCUUGGUGAUGACCUUCAUCAAGACGAUGCCGAUGUUCUUCGUAGCAAGGGUCUUGAUGCAGUUAUCUUUGAUGCCUCUACCCAACAUUCGCUCUUCCAUGGCAAAAAUCACUGACCCGCAGUGGCUGGGUAAGCUGUGGGGAUCAAGAUUGGCAUUUACAGGACAUACGUGUACGUCAUCAGUUUUCUUCCGAUUACAUUCCGAUGACGCACGGUGUUCACUCUGCUCGCGUGUGCAAUGAGCCUUGUCCGGGUGCUCGGGUCCAUAAUGUUCAACUACAUUUACAAGGAAAGCCUGGAGCUGCCCUUCUGCCUGCCCUUCUUGAUCUCUGGCAUCGUGGGAGCCACCAUCCUCCUCCCACUUGGGGUUGUUUGGUGGAAGAAGGGGCAGUGGCGGCGAACGGAGCCUUCUUCUCCGCAGCAGAGAACGUGAAUGCCUUUUCCUCGCCAUUUCCUAAAAGCCCCAAGACGCCAGAGGGCUGCCAACAGACGGAGCGAUUAAAGUUGGAAUGCGUAAAGAGUUGAUGCGUUUCUUGCACCGAGGCUUGUGCGUUAACUCGGGGAAUGCUUGCAACAGGUAUAACAUGGAAGUAUGAAUGUAAUAGUGAACUGCAGUCUGUACCGAUGUGAAUCGCCUCCGAUCCUAGGUUAGUAAUAUUAAAUCAAUUGUACAUGGGGGGGGGGGGGGGGGUGUGAAUAUAAUCCUAUUUAAGUGAAGGUGUCAUCGGUGUUUUGUAAUUUUCUACUGUUCCGGUAAUAUUAAGAUGUACACAAGCAUGCACAACAAAUGUUAAGUUUGUUUACGAGCGGUUAUACAGGGACUCCUCUACUUACGAACAUUUGACUUACGAACUUUCAAAGGUACAAAUAUUUCAUAUGUCCAGUUGCCUGUUCGGACCGAUAAUCGUAAGUUCAAACGCCGUACAAUAGAUGGUGGUGGUGGCAUCUAAAUCUACAAAACACGAAAGAAUCAGAGGCAUUUACAUCUACAGGAGAUUAUACAACUUUUAAAGCCAUUCCCCGUGUUUAGUGUACAUGCAGUACGCCAUGUUUUGGAAUCGAUGAGAGUAAAGUUGGACUUACGAACAAAUCGACUUUCGAACAGACCUCUGGAACCCCACUAGUUUGUAAGUAGAGGAGUCCCUGUAUUAAGCAUUGUGCAAAACUGUCCUCUUUAAACAAUGCACUUCAAUUUCGAUUUAAAGCUUUCGCGACUGCAGGGAUUCAUCUUCUUGGUUCUUUCGGUAAAGUCACGUAGAAGGAAAAUAAUAAAAAUAAAACAUAAUAAAAUACAAUUCUCACGACGUUUCAGCCACAACGCAAGCAGCCGUCCUCAGGUGAAGAACAGGUCUGUCGGAAAGACAGACCUGGCCGAAACGUCGUGAGAAUUGUAUUUUAUUGUUUUAUUUUUAUUUUCCUUCUACGUGACUUUACCGAAAGAACCAAGAAGAACAAUGCACUUCAAUCAAUAUUUGAAACAUGCGCCAAUGACUUCAUGCAUGCGUGAAUAUCCGAAACCAGGGUUUCCCAAACUCCAGUCCUCGCCACGCAUCACGUGCUACGUCUUUCUGCGUUCACCAAUGCACUCCACGUUGAAAUUAAAAGUAUUUGGCUGUUGCUAUGAAUGUCCACGUGAUAAGCCACUGUGGGUGAGCUGCUACCAUUUGUGAUGGACAGGUCGCUUAUGAUAAAGAGCUGCAUCGGCUCAGUGAGCCUUACCUGGUGAAAUAAAAAAAAAAAGUUUAAAUCAGAAAUAAUUCCCCGAGCCUGAUGAGUUGUAAACACACAUCCCAACGCAGUUUCUUGCCGAGGCGUCUUGAACUGAUGGUCUGUCCGCCAAUGAUGGAACAAGAAAGUAAAAAGAACCCACAUUAAAUAUUGUCCUGCACUUAAUUUGGAUGUCAGCUCUGACACUUUAAAUAUCAGUUUGACCCACGCAAUGGACAUGACUGUCACAUGCAGGACAGGUGGGGAAGUGCAUCUCCCUUUUACUGCGGACCAGGGGUCGCUUGAUGGGACCUCGAGAGGCAGCAGCCUCACGAUUGUCCUCGUGGUGUUGCAACGCUGUGGGAGAUCCGAAAGGACACUUCAUCACACGAGACGAGGCUGAUGGCGGCAAUUUUAGGAAAUAACAGGGGGAGGGAAAACGACAGCAGAAACAACACCAACGACUGAAGAGAAAAUAUCAACCAGAAAGUAAAACUAUCCCUUGCGAAAGCAAACACGCAGUUGUGAGCUCUUGGCGGAAUUUCUAGAUCCCCAGCAAGGUUUUACAAACCGGUCACACCAGUUAUCGACAGAAACAACAACAACAAAGGGUAUAAGUGUGUUUAUUACAAACUACUGUACAAAUCACAAAGCAUAACCAUCGCAAUCCGCCGUAUCACGUGUUUUACAUCUACACCAUAAAUUAGUGGGUGUUGCGGAUAGUAUAUAUAUUUUUUUCUUUUUUGCACAAGUAACACGUCUACAAAAACAGCGGUUUACAUUGCGGGUAAACGGCGAAUUCAGAUGGCACACCGCGUGUUUUAACACUGUGCAGCAUAUACAAAGACCAGGUCGUGGCAAGCGCCGUGCACGGGAUUUGGAAUUUUGCCCAUCACAAAAUGUAAUAAAUGUAAUCAGUCAGCGAAGGGUCAUACAAAACGACCGUUACAUAUUGGAUGUCUUGUCAUGGUGGCAAUAAUUACAGCACGUCAUGUAGUGGUGUAAUAUUUGUUUAUUUAAGCCCUUGAAAAUGAGCUUUACUCGGGGAAAAUCAACUUUGAUGCUGACAAGCCGUGGUCCGACUUGGACAAUAAAACAUUUCCAAGCCGAGAAAUGCACCAUGCGGAUUCCAGUAUCUUCACGUUAUACAUUUUAAUGUGGGUUAACAUUUGCAUGGGAUUAAUCGUUUGUGAAUUUUAACAACGUAUAUUCACUUAUAAUAUAUAUUCGAAGUUAACACUUGUUUUGUAAAAUAAAAAGAUGAACAACUUUCAAGCAAA